UCUAGUAGACCGAAGCGAUCUUCUUGUAGAACAUGUAGAACAAAGGAUCACGCAUCAUUGUUUCGUAGUUCAAGAAGACAUGGGGGUAAACUUCGAAAUCGUGUUGGUCGACAUCACCGAAGUACAUAUGGGCGAACAUGUACCAGUAUUUGAAGAAGUAUUUUUCGAAAGUAUCAACAUUACCUUGCAUGAUUCUGUCAAUGUAUUCAAUGGAUUCGGGUUUGCGCAAGUCAAUGGUCUUGCCUUCGUAUGUGACAUAG